AUUGAACGCUGGCGGCAUGCCUUACACAUGCAAGUCGAACGGCAGCACGGGGCAACCUGGUGGCGAGUGGCGAACGGGUGAGUAAUGCAUCGGAACGUACCUUUCAGUGGGGGAUAACGUAGCGAAGGUUACGCUAAUACCGCAUAUUCUGUGAGCAGGAAAGCAGGGGAUCGCAAGACCUUGCGCUGAUUGAGCGGCCGAUGUCAGUUUAGCUAGUUGGUGAGGUAAAGGCUCACCAAGGCGACGAUCUGUAGCGGGUCUGAGAGGAUGAUCCGCCACACUGGAACUGAGACACGGUCCAGACGCCUACGGGAGGCAGCAGUGGGGAAUUUUGGACAAUGGGGGCAACCCUGAUCCAGCCAUGCCGCGUGAGUGAAGAAGGCCUUCGGGUUGUAAAGCUCUUUCGGCCGGGAAGAAAUCGCACGGGCUAAUACCCUGUGUGGAUGACGGUACCGGAAUAAGAAGCACCGGCUAACUACGUGCCAGCAGCCGCCGUAAAAC
rnacentral:rRNA from 1 species